rnacentral:lncRNA from 10 species
AGAUCUCCAUAAGCAUGGGGCAUUCAUGACCAUAAGGUGCCUGAUGCACACUGGGUACAUGGGACAUCAGAGAGGGGUAGGGGGUGAGCAGGAAAGUGGAGACAGCAGUGAGAAAAGCAUCUUCCCUCUCCCCAGGAGUUUGUCCCCUACGGAACUGAGGAGCUGUCCUGAAUACUCCAGAGGCAGGAACUUGGAAGUUCAAGGCAGAGGGAAUUCAAGAAGGGAGUGGUGGUGCUCAGUGGCAUCAGAUAGUAUUACACAACUACAUCUAUGUAAACACUUAUUAGGAAGUUGAUGAAGCUAUCAGCAUGACUGGAGACAGAUUGGGUGCCCUGGGGCUCCUAAAUUAUAACAAAUUAUGUCAAAGAAAGAGAUUCAUUUGACCCAAAUCAUCAGGUGCCCUGAGGCUCUGAGAGACCUGGUCUGGAGAUCACUUGAACCUUAAGCCCCUGAGCUUCUCAGAGAUCACUUAGAACCUGUGGGCUCUGUGUUCUCCUAAGGGCCCGGCAGCAGAGCUGGGGGAGCUGGUAGUGGGAGAAGGUGAAGAGAACAGACUUACUUCUGGCAGUAGGAGAGGGGCGACGGAGAGAUGAGCACCAGUUGCUUCAUGGAGCAGGUCAUCCAGGCAGAGGACUGCCUUAAAUCUUCAGUUCUGAGCUUACUGCUGGAAAGGUAAUCUCUACUUGAGAAAAUGUUAUACCCAGACAAGAAAUAUUUCUUCUUUCCUUUUAUUGAUCUGAUAAGUCCUCCCCCAGGCAGGGUGAAGAACAAUGAAGCAAAACAACAAAGGCAGCAAUCAUGAAAAUUAAUAUCUUCAACACUCUGCCUACCCUUAUUUGCCUUUUGAAAAACAUCUGCCUACAGUGUUUCUUUUCACUUAUUAUGGGCAUGUCUGAUCAAUGUUUUGCAUGUCAUGCAAACAAUUUGGUUAACUGAAAACUCACAAAUUAUAAUAUCCUCUUUUGAUAAUUGUUGUCAAAAUGCAUGUCAGCGGUGAAAUCCUGAAGUUGUGCAAGUUCACUCCUCACUUCCUUUAUAGAUUCAUCUUUCAUUGAGGAAGCCAGGGAAAAAAUGGU